rnacentral:tRNA from 1 species
GAGGGUAUAGCUCAGGUGGUAGAGCGCAUGCUUAGCAUGCAUGAGGUCCUGAGUUCAAACCCCGGCACCUCCU